GACGAACGCUGGCGGCGUGCUUAACACAUGCAAGUCGAACGGAAAGGCCCUGCUUUUGUGGGGUGCUCGAGUGGCGAACGGGUGAGUAACACGUGAGUAACCUGCCCUUGACUUUGGGAUAACUUCAGGAAACUGGGGCUAAUACCGGAUAGGAGCUCCUGCUGCAUGGUGGGGGUUGGAAAGUUUCGGCGGUUGGGGAUGGACUCGCGGCUUAUCAGCUUGUUGGUGGGGUAGUGGCUUACCAAGGCUUUGACGGGUAGCCGGCCUGAGAGGGUGACCGGCCACAUUGGGACUGAGAUACGGCCCAGACUCCUACGGGAGGCAGCAGUGGGGAAUAUUGCACAAUGGGCGGAAGCCUGAUGCAGCAACGCCGCGUGCGGGAUGACGGCCUUCGGGUUGUAAACCGCUUUCGCCUGUGACGAAGCGUGAGUGACGGUAAUGGGUAAAGAAGCACCGGCUAACUACGUGCCAGCAGCCGCGGUGAUACGUAGGGUGCGAGCGUUGUCCGGAUUUAUUGGGCGUAAAGGGCUCGUAGGUGGUUGAUCGCGUCGGAAGUGUAAUCUUGGGGCUUAACCCUGAGCGUGCUUUCGAUACGGGUUGACUUGAGGAAGGUAGGGGAGAAUGGAAUUCCUGGUGGAGCGGUGGAAUGCGCAGAUAUCAGGAGGAACACCAGUGGCGAAGGCGGUUCUCUGGGCCUUUCCUGACGCUGAGGAGCGAAAGCGUGGGGAGCGAACAGGCUUAGAUACCCUGGUAGUCCACGCUGUAAACGGUGGGUACUAGGUGUGGGGUCCAUUCCACGGGUUCCGUGCCGUAGCUAACGCUUUAAGUACCCCGCCUGGGGAGUACGGCCGCAAGGCUAAAACUCAAAGGAAUUGACGGGGCCCCGCACAAGCGGCGGAGCAUGCGGAUUAAUUCGAUGCAACGCGUAGAACCUUACCUGGGUUUGACAUGGAUCGGGAGUGCUCAGAGAUGGGUGUGCCUCUUUUGGGGUCGGUUCACAGGUGGUGCAUGCCUGUCGUCAGCUCGUGUCGUGAGAUGUUGGGUUAAGUCCCGCAACGAGCGCAACCCUUGUUCACUGUUGCCAGCACGUUAUGGUGGGGACUCAGUGGAGACCGCCGGGGUCAACUCGGAGGAAGGUGGGGAUGACGUCAAGUCAUCAUGCCCCUUAUGUCCAGGGCUUCACGCAUGCUACAAUGGCUGGUACAGAGAGUGGCGAGCCUGUGAGGGUGAGCGAAUCUCGGAAAGCCGGUCUCAGUUCGGAUUGGGGUCUGCAACUCGACCUCAUGAAGUCGGAGUCGCUAGUAAUCGCAGAUCAGCAACGCUGCGGUGAAUACAUUCCCGGG
rnacentral:rRNA from 1 species